GCCAGUGUGGCUGAAAGGGAGAGAGGAGGCAAGACAGGGCCUCGGAGGCCGUGAAGUUCCCUCUAAUCUGCUGUGAGGAGCAAACGUGGCAGCAGAGAGACCAGUGUGGAGGCUGUAGGUGAGGAUGGCGGUGGAGCUGGACAGAAGCGGACGAUUCAGGACAGACAGUGGAGGUGGCGUCACCACUCAGAUGUCACCACUUCAAAGAGGCCUUUCCUGACCAUCUGGCUCACUAGAAUAUGAGUGCCAAGAGGGCAGGAGUUUGUCUGUUGUGUGGCAGAGACCAACAAUAAGAAGUUGACACUUCAACAAGAUCCUUUCUGCUAGGGAUACGUGCUAUCAGAAGAAUCAGGGUCCCUCAGGCUGCCUUGUGGAGAACGGACUAUCUGGGGGCAAAAAUGGAAGAAGGGAAUUUAUUCACCCACCCAAACGGAGCCCCUACCUUGUGCCAGGCAUCGUCCCGACACUGGAGAUAGAGCAGCGAACAACUGUGACAAAAAACCUCUGUCCUCAGGGAGCUCACGUUCUUGCGUUGGGAGCCUGGGGAUAAACUGGAGAAGUGAGCAAAGCCCUUGGUGUGCCAGGAAACACCAGGAACUCCGGAGAGACCUUCACUGAGUUCUGGCGAAACGAGUGAGUUGACUGAGUCCUCUACAUGCCUGGCGCUGUGUGGAGUGUUUCCCCGCAUCGUCUCAUCCAAUCCUCAGAAAUAAUCGUGUGCAGGAAGUGCCGUUACUUUCCUUUCUUUUACAAAUAAAGAAC
rnacentral:lncRNA from 1 species